UACAGAGUCUCAAGCGUUGUUCGGAUUCAUUGGGCGUAAAGGGUGCGUAGGCGGCGAUCUUUGUCAGGCGUGAAAGCCCCGGGCUUACCUGGGAACUGCGCUUGGGACGGGAUUGCUGGAGACCGGGAGAGGAGAGUGGAAUUCCCAGUGUAGAGGUGAAAUUCGUAGAUAUUGGGAAGAACACCGGUGGCGAAGGCGGCUCUCUGGACCGGAUCUGACGCUGAGGCGCGAAAGCGGUGGGGAGCAAACAG
rnacentral:rRNA from 1 species